UACGUAGGUGGCAAGCGUUUGUCCGGAUUUAUUGGGUUUAAAGGGUGCGUAGGCGGCUUUGUAAGUCAGUGGUGAAAUAUGGCAGCUCAACUGUCAGGGUGCCAUUGAUACUGCAGAGCUUGAGUACAGAUGAGGUAGGCGGAAUUGACGGUGUAGCGGUGAAAUGCUUAGAUAUCGUCAAGAACACCGAUAGCGAAGGCAGCUUACUGGGCUGUAACUGACGCUGAGGCACGAAAAGUGUGGGGGAUCAAAACAGG
rnacentral:rRNA from 1 species